rnacentral:rRNA from 1 species
AGCUGAUCACUGGGCAUAAAGCGUGCGCAGGCGGUUUUGUAAGACAGAGGUGAAAUCCCCGGGCUCAACCUGGGAACUGCCUUUGUGACUGCAAGGCUGGAGUGCGGCAGAGGGGGAUGGAAUUCCGCGUGUAGCAGUGAAAUGCGUAGAUAUGCGGAGGAACACCGAUGGCGAAGACAAUCCCCUGGGCCUGCACUGACGCUCAUGCACGAAAGCGUGGGGAGCAAACA